UACGUAGGGUCCGAGCGUUGUCCGGAAUUACUGGGCGUAAAGAGCUCGUAGGUGGUUUGUCGCGUUGUUCGUGAAAACUCACAGCUUAACUGUGGGCGUGCGGGCGAUACGGGCAGACUAGAGUACUGCAGGGGAGACUGGAAUUCCUGGUGUAGCGGUGGAAUGCGCAGAUAUCAGGAGGAACACCGGUGGCGAAGGCGGGUCUCUGGG
rnacentral:rRNA from 1 species